GCCAUAAUCAAUCGCAUAGCGUUUGGUCGUGACGUAUGUCAUGCGACGGGACCGGCUCCUUCACCACUAACGGAGCCAGCUGGAAAAUCAAACUUUUCUCGAACCCGAUGGGGAGAAGCAACAUCAUGGCCACCAACAAAACUCAGCAAAGCUUGUUCUUGCUCCGACUUUAAUUGAUCGAUAUUCGGCAGCGAUCCCACAACAGACCGAAUAGCUUCUCUCGUAUCCUGCUCCAUUGUCUUCCAGGUCUUCCUCUGACUACAACUGAAACUGGCGCGCGACCUCGACGUCAUCGUUCUCAGCCACUCCCUCUGUUCGCUGAUUGAACCGCCAAAAAUCUGGCUUCCAAGGAACCCAUGCAUAUGAAGCAGACCCAGACUACAGAAGUGAAAUGAAAAUUGAGCGGAAGUCGGAGAGAAGCCUUUCAUAUGUGAGGCCUGUUGGAAGUGCUUCGCGUCCAAGGAGUACUUGAGGCGCCACUCCAACAUCCACACCGGCUCCAGGACCUACAAGUGUCAGCAGUGUGUGAGCUCCAGACCCUCGGCUCCAUGUAUAUAGAGAGGAGCUGCAUGGCAGAUGCUCUGCUCUCGCCACACUGCUCUCUGUUCUGCUCUCGGCUCCACGCUCUGCUCUCGGCUCCACGCUCUGCUCUCGGCUCCACGCUCUGCUCUCGGAUCCACGCUCUGCUAUCGGCUCCACGCUCUGCUCUCGGCUCCACGCUCUGCUCUCAGCUCCACGCUCUGCUCUCGGCUCCACGCUCUGCUAUCGGCUCCACGCUCUGCUCUCGGCCCCAUGCUGAUCGUUGUCUGCUGUGGCCUGCUGUCGCCAGCUGCCUGGUUGUAUCGCUGCCGUCAACUGCUUAGCAGUUCUGUUUUGUCAUUACUUAUUUUGGGUUGAGCCAGGAAGCCGUGUAGGGGAGGCCUGCCGUUUGUUCCCCCUUCUUCUCCUGUUUUCAUCGAGGCUAGGGAGGAUGAGCAAACGUAUUUGUACCUUUUUAGAAAGAUCCUUUUUUUUUUGUUUCAAGCCAGAGAUAGCUUUUGUUGGCCU
ensembl:lncRNA